rnacentral:lncRNA from 1 species
CAAGGACCCACCCUCACUGCCUAACUUUUCUCUCUUAUUGCCACACUGUGGGAUUGGUGCUAAACCUGAAAAGAAUCAGUUUUUCUCAUUGGUUGACGACUUUAAUCAGUGAUUAUAUGAAAAUUAUUAUCUUCACUGAAGGAUCUACUGAAUAAUCAUUUUAACUCAACUAUAUCGCAUUAUUGAGAGCAAUCCUUUUAAUUCUA